GCCAGACUCCUACGGGAGGCAGCAGUCGGGAAUAUUGCGCAAUGGAGGAAACUCUGACGCAGUGACGCCGCGUAUAGGAAGAAGGUUUUCGGAUUGUAAACUAUUGUCCACAGGGAAGAUAAAAGACUGUACCUGUGAAGAAAGCUCCGGCUAACUACGUGCCAGCAGCCGCGGUAAUACGUAGGGAGCAAGCGUUAUCCGGAAUUAUUGGGUGUAAAGGGUGCGUAGGCGGAAUAUCAAGUCAGCGGUAAAAAUUCGGGGCUCAACCCCGUCGUGCCGUUGAAACUGAUGUUCUUGAGUGGGCGAGAAGUAUGCGGAAUGCGUGGUGUAGCGGUGAAAUGCAUAGAUAUCACGCAGAACUCCGAUUGCGAAGGCAGCUUACUAAACUGUGACUGACAUUGAUGCUCGAAAGUGUGGGUAUCAAACAGGAUUAGAUACCCGAGUAU
rnacentral:rRNA from 1 species